AACGAACGCUGGCGGCAGGCCUAACACAUGCAAGUCGAGCGAGGACUUCGGUUCUAGCGGCGGACGGGUGAGUAACGCGUGGGAAUGUGCCCUUCUCUACGGAAUAGCCCUGGGAAACUGGGAGUAAUACCGUAUACGCCCUUUUGGGGAAAGAUUUAUCGGAGAAGGAUCAGCCCGCGUUGGAUUAGGUAGUUGGUGGGGUAAUGGCCUACCAAGCCGACGAUCCAUAGCUGGUUUGAGAGGAUGAUCAGCCACACUGGGACUGAGACACGGCCCAGACUCCUGCGGGAGGCAGCAGUGGGGAAUCUUAGACAAUGGGGGCAAACCUGAUCUAGCCAUGCCGCGUGAGUGAUGAAGGCCUUAGGGUUGUAAAGCUCUUUCAGCUGGGAAGAUAAUGGCGGUACCAGCAGAAGAAGCCCCGGCUAACUCCGU
rnacentral:rRNA from 1 species